rnacentral:misc_RNA from 1 species
UUAACUAUUUACAUAGUACUCGGACAACAUAAUAAAGAGUUUUGGGGUCCUCUGGCAGGCGCGGACCAGCCUAAGCCAGUGGUCAUAAGACGGGCCUGCCAAAGCAACAAAGGUAAUGUAAACAAAGGGUGGGGGAGAUCUACCCCGAAGGGCAAUUUCUCUGUAAUGAUCCUUCCGCAGCGGAAAUAUAGCGGCAAUUUCUAGCAGCCUCCCGAUCAUAUCUUAAACCCUACACUGGGGGCCACCUCCAUUUGACCUGUGAGCCUAUUGCUAGGCUGCUGGUAUUGCAAAUGUAAAUCCCAGCACAGUGGAGAUGUUGCCUGCUGAUACAGACUUUCUAUUCUGGCGAACCUGGAAGAGAUGUUCACCUACGGAAA